rnacentral:tRNA from 1 species
ACUUAAAUAGCUUAUGAGAGUUUAAUAUUGAAGAUAUUAAGGAGAUUAAAAAAAAUCUUUAAGUA